CCGUGAUUUAUUACUUGCCCUGCUGCUUCUGACAAACUAUUUGUAGGAAAAUGAGAUUUGGUCCGCGCUGGAUGGCUCCUCUGGGAGGCAGGCGUGGGGGUCGGGUGUCGGAGGCCCCGUGCGCCCCCCCACCCCCCACCAGAGCCCACGGCGCUCACGGAGCUCUUUAAGAUAAAUGAGCAAAAUUAAGAGACUCACUGGGGGAAGAAAACACUGGAUGGGAGCGAGCGAGAGCGGAUGGUACUUGGUUUCCUCCCAGAAAUGCAUCCACGUGCGCCCCACUGGGGCCUCCCCCAUCUGCUGCAGACUCCAGGGAACUUCCUCCCCUCAAAGACGAACUUCCAGCCCUGGAGCAUGUUUCUUCCUUUCCUGGGAUGUGGCGCUGAAAAGGGCAGAAACCUCUAGUAAGGCACAAGCAACAGAUUGGGGGUGGAGCAGCAGGUCUCUUUGGAGGUGGCCUGGAAGAAACCGGACAGAGAGGAUGGGAAGGGGAGAAACAGAAGAGUGUGACGAGAUCAUGAAGGAAAGAGGAGGCGUCUACUGAAUGUAAGGUAGAGCCAAAGGCAUCUAUUGAUGACUGAAGAAGAGGCAUGAAUAUGACAAAAACAGGAAGACCACUAGAGAUUAGAAAAUUGUUCUCUGGGGUAUCUGACCACUUCCAGAGGAAAGACAUAAAGAUGCUGAUGUCAAGAAUGACCCAACUAAACGGCCCAGCCAGAUGACCCAGUUGAAGCUGGUGGACAAGAAGUUUCAUUCAUGGAAUCAGAACUUCCAAUAAGCUGGGAAAACGGCAAUGGAUUAAUAACAAGAAAUUAAUGGUGAAGUGGUGACGAAAAUUCUACAUUGCUUAGAAAGCAAAUAGUGAAAUGAACAUUUACAUUCUGGCAACCUCAGAAGUACAACGAACAGAGGACACCAGCCAGGUAGGGCAAAGGCCUGUGCGCCCCCUUUUGCUGUUACAUGUUUAUCAGAUGCGUGCUCUGUUUCUGUUGUAUUACAUUACUUUUCUCUUCAAUGUCUACUGAGGAAGAACAAGUAGCUCCUCAGGCAAGUCAACUGUUAACUCUGCAGUUUUUAUUUAAUCUCCCAGGAAUGUAACCCUUAACUUUAAAGAAUGUAGUGACCAUAAAACUUAUAAGGCAUGUUUCUUAAGGAAAUUGUACCUGUUUAUUUAAUCUAUCAGAUAUGAAUGUUAUAGAAAAUUAAAUUUGUCCACUUAAGCUGUAGAUGAACUUUUCACCUUUCUGAUCAGAAAUUCACCAUUUUAUAGUAUAGGUUCUGUUAUUAAUCAGAAUAUUUCAUUUAGACUCUUUCUAUCCAACUUUUUCUUAGAGGCUAUUCAAAAUAAAGGUGCUUCUAACAGUUUCAUAUCGAAAUACGAUGCAAAGCCUUGCUCUUCCAUGGUAUCCUUUGAGUGAGCCAAACUUAUUUAGCCAUUCCCCUAUAGUUAAAUAGCUAGGAUGUUUCCAACAUCUCACCUUUAAAACAAUAGUGCUAUGAAUGUCAUAAAUGUUUGUAUAUGUAAAUAUGUAGGAUAAAUCCCUAUCAGUAGAAUUUCAAAAGGUAUACGCAAUCAGUAUUUUCAUACAUAUUUAAAAUUUUCCAUCCAUACAAAGGUUGCUAACAUAUUUAUUUAAAAUUUUAAAAAUAAUUUUAUAUGCCUCUUGUAACCAGUAAUAGGAUGCAAAGUUUUUGUUUUAAGGUAACAUUGCUCCUCUUCCCCCAUUGUCUCUGUCAUCUAUAGUACUCCCUAAGGUAGUUCAUGUUAUUGCAAGGGUGUGUAUCAUCCCAAACAUAUUGCUUCCACAUACAUAUAUCAGCAUACAUAUAUAUAUAUGUAUAGCAUAUAUAUAUAUGAGCACAUAUUAAUAUAUGCCCAUGCACAUACAAGCAUGUUUUUGUUAAUUUUUACUGAAAUGGAAUCAUGCUACAUACUUAUGAACAAAUUGCUUCUUUCACCUUAUAUCACUUAUAAUUGUUAUUCUACAAAUCAGUACAUAUAAAAAAUACAUAUUUACAUAUGUAAUACUCUAUCUGUUAUAAUUUUCUGCAUGCACAUGUAUGCAUAUACAUAUAUUCAUAAACAUAAAAAUCUAAACGGGAUUUUUUUG
rnacentral:lncRNA from 1 species